rnacentral:rRNA from 1 species
AACGAACGCUGGCGGCAGGCUUAACACAUGCAAGUCGAGCGCCCCGCAAGGGGAGCGGCAGACGGGUGAGUAACACGUGGGAACCUACCUGAAGGUACGGAACAACUCCGGGAAACUGGAGCUGAUACCGUAUGUGCCCGAAAGGGGAAAGAUUUAUCGCCUUCAGAUGGGCCCGCGUCAGAUUAGCUAGUUGGUGAGGUAACGGCUCACCAAGGCGACGAUCUGUAGCUGGUCUGAGAGGAUGAUCAGCCACACUGGGACUGAGACACGGCCCAGACUCCUACGGGAGGCAGCAGUGGGGAAUAUUGGACAAUGGGCGAAAGCCUGAUCCAGCCAUGCCGCGUGAGUGAUGACGGCCUUAGGGUUGUAAAGCUCUUUCGACGGGGACGAUAAUGACGGUACCCGUAGAAGAAGCCCCGGCUAACUUCGUGCCAGCCGCCGCAGUAAGAC